rnacentral:rRNA from 1 species
GACGAACGUUGGCGGCGUGCUUAAUACAUGCAAGUCAACUGAAGCAGUGGUAGCAAUAUCGCUGUGGAGGUGGCGCACGGGUGAGUAACACGUAGGUAAUCUGCCUUCAGGUCUGGCAUAACUCCGGGAAACCGGGGCUAAUAGCAGAUGAUGCAGCGGCUCGACAUCGAGACAGUUGUUAAAGCUAUGGCGCCUGAAGAUGAGCCUGCGUCUAAUUAGCUAGUUGGCGGGGUAACGGCCCACCAAGGCAACGAUCAGUAGCUGGUCUGAGAGGAUGAUCAGCCACACUGGAACUGAGACACGGUCCAGACUCCUACGGGAGGCAGCAGUAAGGAAUAUUGCUCAAUGGGAGAAAUCCUGAAGCAGCAACGCCGCGUGAGGGACGAAGGGCUUUUGCUUGUAAACCUCUGUAGUGAGAGAAAAAAAUCCCAAUCUUUGGGACAUGAUGGUAUCUCAAAAGUAAGCCCCGGCUAACUACGUG